AAUGAACGUUGGCGGCGUGGAUUAGGCAUGCAAGUCGAGCGCGAUAUGUAGCAAUACAUGGAGAGCGGCGAAAGGGAGAGUAAUACGUAGGUAUCUACCCUCGGGUCUGGGAUAGCAGCGGGAAACUGCUGGUAAUACCAGAUAACGUCUCCGGACCAAAGGUGUGAUUCCACCUGAGGAGGAGCCUACGGCCUAUUAGCUAGUUGGUAGGGUAACGGCCUACCAAGGCAAAGAUGGGUAUGGGGUGUGAGAGCAUGCCCCCACUCACUGGGACUGAGACACUGCCCAGACACCUACGGGUGGCUGCAGUCGAGAAUCUUCGGCAAUGGGCGAAAGCCUGACCGAGCGACGCUGCGUGCGGGAUGAAGGCCUUCGGGUUGUAAACCGCUGUCGUAGUGGAGGAAAUGUAGGAGAGUUAUCUCUUCUACUUGACUAAUACUAGGAGGAAGGACCGGCUAAUCUCGUGCCAGCCGCCGCGGUAAUAC
rnacentral:rRNA from 1 species